rnacentral:rRNA from 1 species
AUUGAACGCUUGCGGCAGGCUUAACACAUGCAAGUCGAGCGGAGAGAAGUAGCUUGCUACUGAUCUUAGCGGCGGACGGGUGAGUAAUGCUUAGGAAUCUGCCUAUUAGUGGGGGACAACAUUUCGAAAGGAAUGCUAAUACCGCAUACGUCCUACGAGAGAAAGCAGGGGAUCUUCGGACCUUGCGCUAAUAGAUGAGCCUAAGUCGGAUUAGCUAGUUGGUGGGGUAAAGGCCUACCAAGGCGACGAUCUGUAGCGGGUCUGAGAGGAUGAUCCGCCACACUGGGACUGAGACACGGCCCAGACUCCUACGGGAGGCAGCAGUGGGGAAUAUUGGACAAUGGGCGGAAGCCUGAUCCAGCCAUGCCGCGUGUGUGAAGAAGGCCUUAUGGUUGUAAAGCACUUUAAGCGAGGAGGAGGCUACUUUAGUUAAUACCUAGAGAUAGUGGACGUUACUCGCAGAAUAAGCACCGGCUAACUCUGUGCCAGCAGCCGCAGUAACAC